rnacentral:rRNA from 1 species
AGUGAACGCUGGCGGUAGGCCUAACACAUGCAAGUCGAACGGCAGCACAGUAAGAGCUUGCUCUUACGGGUGGCGAGUGGCGGACGGGUGAGGAAUACAUCGGAAUCUACUUUUUCGUGGGGGAUAACGUAGGGAAACUUACGCUAAUACCGCAUACGACCUACGGGUGAAAGCAGGGGAUCUUCGGACCUUGCGCGAUUGAAUGAGCCGAUGUCGGAUUAGCUAGUUGGCGGGGUAAAUGCCCACCAAGGCGACGAUCCGUAGCUGGUCUGAGAGGAUGAUCAGCCACACUGGAACUGGGACACGGUCCAGACUCCUACGGGAGGCAGCAGUGGGGAAUAUUGGACAAUGGGCGCAAGCCUGAUCCAGCCAUACCGCGUGGGUGAAGAAGGCCUUCGGGUUGUAAAGCCCUUUUGUUGGGAAAGAAAAGCAGCAGGUUAAUACCCCGCUGUUCUGACGGUACCCAAAGAAUAAGCACCGGCUAACUUCGUG